GAAUAACGCUGGCGGCGUGCCUAACGACAUGCAAGUCGUACGAGAAAGUCCCGUUCGCGGGAUGAGUAAAGUGGCGAACGGUGAGUAAGCGUUGGUGACCUGCCCCGAAGCGAGGGAUAACAGUUCGAAAGAACUGCUAAUACCUCAUGUGAUCACCGGUUUUAGAAUCUGGUGAUUAAAGGUGAAAAUCACUUCGGGAGGGGCCUGCGUCCCAUCAGCUAGUUGUAAGGUAAUGGCUUACCAAGGCGACGAUCCGUAGCGGGUCUGAGAGGAUGAUCCGCCACACUGGGACUGAGACACGGCCCAGACUCCUACGGGAGGCAGCAGUGGGGAAUUUUUGGACAAUGGGCGCAAGCCUGAUCCAGCCAUGCCGCGUGAGUGAAGAAGGCCUUCGGGUUGUAAAGCUCUUUCGGCGGGGAAGAAAUUGCACUGGCUAAUACCGAGUGUAGAUGACGGUACCCGCAUAAGAAGCACCGGCUAACUACGUG
rnacentral:rRNA from 1 species